CACGUAGGAGGCGAGCGUUGUCCGGAAUCAUUGGGCGUAAAGAGCGCGCAGGCGGCUUGGCAAGUCGGGUGUGAAAUCCCGGGGCUCAACCCCGUGACUGCAUUCGAUACUGUCAGGCUAGAGGUAGGUAGGGGAGAUCGGAAUUCCUGGUGUAGCGGUGAAAUGCGCAGAUAUCAGGAGGAACACCGGUGGCGAAGGCGGAUCUCUGGGCCUUACCUGACGCUCAGGCGCGAAAGCUAGGGGAGCGAACAGG
rnacentral:rRNA from 3 species